CAUGGAGGGGCGGGGGGAAGCCCUUGUGUGACCAUGGAGACACGUGUGCGGUCAUACAGAGACACGUGUGCGUGAACAGAGACCCGCGUGUCAGCGGAGACACGUUCGUGGUGAGCACCGAGACGGCUGUGAAUACAAGACACGCGAGCGUGAAUGCAAAGAGAGGUGUCCGAACGCAGAGACGUAACUUGCGCAUCCAUGCGCGCACAGCUGCAUACAAGCGCCGUGCGUACACGCGUGAACGCGUGCACACACACACACACACUCACACACACGCACACACACACACAUGCACACGUGCACAUACAUGCAUGCAGAGAAGCGUGCACACGCACCCAUGUGCACACACAUACGUGCACACAACACGGAAUACGCACACGGACGCACACGAUCCAGGUACACACGCACACAAACACACAGGCGCAUUUGCGCACACCCCGCUCCCGAGGUGUCCCUCCCCUCCCGACAGAAUUCACCUUCCCUGGAGGAAGGAACACGUCCGUCCUGCCCGCCCCCGGCCUCCCCAUUGGCUGCGUUCCCCUCCCGCCCGCCUCCUGUCGCAGAGCAGCCCAUGGGGAACGGGCUUCAGGUGAUUCUCAGUGGGAUCAGCCGGACAGAAAACAAUGACGGGCCGAGGCUGUGGUGAGGCUCUGGAGGGAAGGAAGGCUGUGAUACCCUGACGCAUCCAGGAAGGGAUGUCACCCAAGGGCAUGGAGCCAUUGGUGGUAGAGGCAGAAGUGGGACAGCUCCUGGCUGGGGACCAUAACCCCUGCUCUGGGACAAGUUCGGAGGAUUAAAAGAUUUAAUCCCAGGAUUUGAACUGGCGCUUGGAGCAGGAUGGGGGCAUUUGGUAGUUUGGGUGGUUUCUCACCCCAAUUUUGGCAGCUUAUGGAGUGCCAGAGUAUGCCAGCACCAAAGCCUCCGGGGACUUUUCCCCUGGGUAUCAAACGCCCAGGAUAGAGCUGUCAAGAUCGGGCUGGGAUGAAAGUGCUGCAUUGAUCUUGGAUAAUAAAAGUCUCCUUAGCUGGACAGCGGGAAUGAAAACCACCACCCUGAUGCACGGAUGAUGGGCUAACAAGGGGGUCCCCUCUGGGGCCAUGCAAGAACGGCUGUGGGAGCCAGAGGAGCAGAUGAAUUCUGCCCCAGUCCCAGCCCAGGCACAGAGGGGUCCUGACACAGGCCUCAUCCUGCAGGUGUCAGCAGUGCCAACCCAAGCUGGAACCUGCCCUGGCCCAGCUCCCCCUGCUGCCAGGCUGAAUAGGUCCCAACCUGGCAGGUGGGGAUGGAAAGAGCAUCCCAGGGGAUUGGAGCAUCCUGGGGUUCUGGAACAUUUCAGAAGGGAACAGGGCACAAGGAAGGGACCAGAGCAGCUGGAGCUCAGAGGGGAUCAGUGAAUCCUGGGGCACUGGAGCAUUCUACGAGAGUGGAACAUCCAGGGCAGGGCUGGAGCUUCCUGGGGGGGUCAGGGCUACACGGCCCAAGCUGGAUUCUGCCCCUGAGAGUGAUUUUGGGGUUUAUAAGUCUUAAUUGGAGGUCCCCAGACCCCAACAAGGCCACCCACCAACCUGUCACGGGGAGGUUGACAUAUGAAAUUUAUUUAGGAAAACCAAAACCCACCAAAAAAGAGAAAUUAUAAAGGAGGAGGAGAAACAGUAGGGGGAGAAGGAAGAGAAGAAGGAGGAGGAAGAAGAGAAGGAGAAUAAGAAAAGAAGGAGGAGGAGAGGAAGAAAGAGAAGUCAUCUCCUCCUCAGGCUCCAUUGGAGUCCAGAACAACCAGUGCCGCAAGACAGAAGGACAGAAAAGCUGGAGGAGGUUUGCACACUCACACACGCCUGUGCACACUCGUGGGUGAGCUGGGCUGGGUGUGAGCUGCACUCCCCAGUAUCCAGAGGGGUAUAUACAGGGGCAGGAGCUGGGAAAGCAUUGACUACCUACACACACCAGCAGCAGGGGCUGGAAAAGUGGGAUACAGGUGGGAAAAGGGCAUCCCUGUGUGCCCCCACCAUGGUGUGGUACCCGGGAUGCAGAACCCAAGUGCAGGACGCCCCCACAUCUAUUGGAUGGAGAGAUCCGUGCAUCGUCAGGCAUCCCUGGAUCAGCACUGGGAUGCAGGGACUGUGUUUGAACAGUUGUACUUACUGGCACAUCGGUACCAGGGCUGUGCCAGUGUCACAAUGGGGAUGGAGCUGCUGUCCUCCUCUUUGCAGCUUGUGAGUUUGCUGCCUUCUGGGACUAUCUCCACCCCCUAUGGCAGUGUGGGGAGGGGGAGAAGGGCUUAACAGGGUCUUGGAUGCAAAGCCAUGGGCCAGCAGACAGUCACCAGGUGAGUCCCACCAGGGUUCGGGCAAAGCAUCUCACUAAAGGCAUUUCUGAGUAGGUAAGGCAAAAGGAAUUCAGAUCACUUCAUCCACGUGGCGCAGCUCAGCGUUGGGGGUCUCCCAUUGCUCCUGCAGACACAUGCUCCAGGUACCCCGAGAACACAGGCAAGUCAUUGCUUACAGACAAGCCAAGGAGAGAAGCAGCCACUGUGUAGCCCAAAUCUAGAAUGGAUCUGCUGUGGUAA